rnacentral:rRNA from 1 species
UACGGGGGGGGCAAGCGUUGUUCGGAAUUACUGGGCGUAAAGGGCGCGUAGGCGGCCUUCUAAGUCAGACGUGAAAUCCCUCGGCUCAACCGAGGAACUGCGUCUGAUACUGGAAGGCUUGAGUCCGGGAGAGGUGAGUGGAACUGCGAGUGUAGAGGUGAAAUUCGUAGAUAUUCGCAAGAACACCAGUGGCGAAGGCGGCUCACUGGCCCGGUACUGACGCUGAGGCACGAAAGCGUGGGGAGCAAACAGG